AGUGAACGCUGCCGGGUUGUUUAAACCUGCAAGUCGGAACGAGAAGGGGUUUUAGCUGCCUAUAAUUUUCGCCAAGUUGGCGCAGGGGGGGGAAUGGUAAAGUUAUAAUGCUUCUAAUUAGGGGUUAACAAUGGAAACGUUUUGUUAUAACUUAUAAUCCUUUAUAAAAUAAGUUAAUCAGGGAAAGAUUUAUUGGUAAGAGAUUAGCCUGUAUUGUAUCAGUUAGUUGGUGGGGUAAUGGCUUACCAAGACUAUGACACAUAACUGGUUUGAGAGGAUGAUCAGUCACACUGGAACUGAGACACGGUCCAGACUCCUACGGGAGGCAGCAGUGGGGAAUAUUGCACAAUGGACGAAAGUCUGAUGCAGCAACGCCGCGUGGAGGAUGACACAUUUCGGUGCGUAAACUCCUUUUAUAUGAGGAGAUAAUGACGGUAUUAUAUGAAUAAGCACCGGCUAACUCCGUGCCAGCCGCCGCCGUAA
rnacentral:rRNA from 1 species